AUGGCUCACGGGCCCAGCCGCUCCGCGGCAUGUGGGAUCUUCCCGGACCGGGGCAGGAACCCGUGUCCCCUGCAUCGGCAGGCGGACUCUCAACCACUGCGCCACCAGGGAAGCCCUCACUAACAUUUUUGAGGCAAUGGAAGGUUAAUUUGGUGGCAGAUGCAGAAAAGAAGGGCGCAGGAAAGUCUGGAGUACCAUCUAGAGCUACAGAAGUCCAGACAGGGCAAAGCACCCUUUGAUCUCUUUCAGAAGGAGCUGUCUAACCCUCAGUGAUUUCUGAAUUUGGAAGAUACUCCUUUAGCAAUAGUUGAAAUGGAGUGAUGACAUGGUGCAGCAUUUCAGCCAUUUUUUGGGUAAUUGGAAAAAUUCUAUUCCUCAAGGCAGGUAAAAACUCUUUUCAAUAUUUUCUACAGUUCUAUCCAGCUUGCUCUCUGCCACCUCAUUCUUUAUUUUUUCCUCUUUCUCUUACCUCAUCUAACUAGGCCUUGGGCAUUGUUGGCUCUUUUUGAGAAUAGUUGGUAGAUCUGUCUGGCUUAUAGAAUUAAAGGAUAGAAAAAUGGAAUUCCCUGGCAGUCCAGUGGUUAGGACUCGGCACCUCGGCCGUGACCCGGGGUUUGAUCCCUGGUCAGGGAACUAAGAUCCCACAAGCCACACCGUGUGGCCAAAAACAAACAAACAAACAAAAAAUUCCAUUAUAAGAUAGAGAUUUAAUCAUGAAAUAAAUUUGAAUACACUUCA